rnacentral:rRNA from 1 species
GACGAACGCUGGCGGCGUGCCUAAUACAUGCAAGUAGGACGCAGUUGCGAACGGGUGAGUAAAGCGUAGGUAACUACCUAUUAGAGGGGGAUAACUAUUGGAAACGAUAGCUAAUACCGCAUACUAGUAGAUGGACCUGCGUUGUAUUAGCUAGUAGGUAGGGUAAAGGCCUACCUAGGCAAAGAUACAUAGCCGACCUGCGAGGGUGUUCAGCCAAACUGGGACUGAGAAGCGGCCCAGACUCCUGCGGGAGGCAGCAGUAGGGAAACUUCGGCAAUGGGGGGAACCCUGACCGGGCAACGCCGCGUUAGUGAAGAAGGUUUUCGGGUCGUAAAACUCUGUUGUUAAGGGAGCGGUACUUAACCAGAAAGGGACGGCUAACUACGUGCCAGCCGCCGCGGUAAUUC